AUUUUUAGCUCACCUGGCCCAAAGGGCCAAGUGAGCUUUUCCCAUCACUUUGUGUCCGUCGUCUGUCGUCCGUCAUCCGUCGUCGUUAACUUUUACAAAAAUCUUCUCUGAAACUAUUGGGCCAAAUUAAACCAAACUUGGCCACAAUCAUCAUUGGGAUAUCUAGUUUAAAAAAUGUGUCCAGUGACCCAGCCAACCAACCAAGAUGGCCACCAUGGCUAAAAAUAGAACAUAGGGGUAAAAUGCAGUUUUUGGCUUAUAACUCAAAAACCAAAG
rnacentral:lncRNA from 1 species